UCAUCUCUCUCUAUUUUCUUCAUUUCACACCUACCCCAAACACACACACAUACCUAAUCCUCUCUCUCUCUUGAACCUUCCUCACCGGCAACAAGAACAGCCAGACUCCGGCCGACCUCUGGCGAGCAGGCGACGGCCGGCUACGGGCCACGGUGGUCCGGAGAUAGCGGAGAUAGGGUGGCGCCGCGUAGGCGGUGACGGUGACAUGUUUUCCGGCGAAAAGAAGGUGCACACCCCCUAAAUCGGACCUUCUAAACCCAUUUCUGGCCUCCAUCCUCCGAUUUGAACGACGAUAAUGACGGUUUCAACACCAACAGCCGUUGGUUCCGGGUGGUGUUCCGGCAAAGAUGAACGAUGAUCGUGGUGGUGUUUCAGCUGGUGUUCCGGCAAAGUUCAAAAGGGUGGGUUUUGAAGAGGAAAUUUCAUGUUCAUAUUAUUAUUAUUAUUAUUAUUAUUUUGCAAAAAAGUGCAAAUGUGCUUUUUGUGGAUAUUCGUCAAAGAACUUUCAAGAUUUGAACUUUUGUUCUAUUUUUCUUAAACCAAAAAUGAAAAAGAAGUUCGUAAUUUGGUACAAAUGACGAAGCAACAAAGCAAGGUUUUUGUUUCUAUUUUUUUCUUUUCUGCUUUUGAAGUAUAAGUUUUUUUAAUGGUUCAUAUUUUGUUUAUAAGCCAUAUGUUUAGUUUGUUUGAUGAUUUUUUGAUAUGGUGAUUCAUGUGGAUGAAAAAAAACUUUAUUAGGGUAAA